GAAGCUUGUAUCUAUGGCUCCUAGUCUCUUUUUUUGUUUUCCUAUAUCCAGGGUUGUUUCCAUGUGUUCUUUCUUGAUUGCUUCUAUUUCCAUUUUUAAUUCCUUCAACUGUUUGAUUGUGUGUUCCUGGAAUUCUUUCAGGGAUUUUUGUGAUUCCUCUCUGUAGGCUUCUACUUGUUUAUUUAUGUUUUCCUGUGUUUCUCUAAGGGAGUUCUUCACGUCUUUCUUGAAGUCCUCCGGCAUCAUGAUCAAAUAUGAUUUUUAAAGUAGAUCUUGCUUUUCUGGUGUAUUUGGAUAUUCAGUGUUUGCUUUGGUGGGAGAAUUGGGCUCCGAUGACGCCAUGUAGUCUUGGUUUCUGUUGCUUGGAUUCCUGCAUUUGCCUCUCGCCAUCAGAUUAUCUCUAGUGUUACUUUGUUCUUCUAUUUUUGACAGUGGCUAGACUGUCCUGUAAGCCUGUGUGUCAGGGGUGCUGUAGACCUGUUUUCCUGUUUUCUUUCAGCCAGUUAUAGGAACAGAGUGUUCUGCUUCCAGGUGUGUAGUUUUUCCUAUCUACAGGUCUUCAGCUGUUCCUGUGGGCCUGUGUCCUGAGUUCACUAGGCAGGUCGCUUGGAGCAGGAAGGUUUGUCUUACCUGGGAUCCCGAGGCUUAAGUUUGCUCAUGGUGUGUUGCUUAUGAGCUCUCCACUCGGGCAGCAACCAGGAAGAUCUGCGCAGCCCUUUCCGGGAGCUUCCGUGCACCAGGGUUCCAGAUGGCGUUUGGUGUUUUCCUCUGGAAUCAGUAAUGUGUGCAGAGUGCAGUCUCUUCUGAUUUCCCAGGCGUGUCUGCCUCUCUGAAGGUUUAGCUCUCCCUCCCACGGGAUUUGGGUGCAGAGAACUGUUUAUCAGCCACAGAGGCAAACGGGAGAAGAAAGGAAGAUGAAGGGGCUUACGGAGCAGACAUGGUGAAGUGAAGGCUAAAGGUGUCCUGGAGUUCUUCGGGAAGGUGCGGACAGGGCGAGGUCAUGGCAGUUGCACUUUGAUUGGGAUGAGAUGGAGUCUCAACGUAGCUGUAAAUUGCAUCCCCAGAUGUCCGAGAGUGUCAAACAUUUUGAGAGAGAACACACAAACAAACCAUGAAUGUGGACAUUGGCGGAUUUUUUGAAAAACAACCAUUCUCUACUUCCCUUGGUAGUUUAAUCCAUGUAUAUUUCAUUUCCGGUGCCCCUUAGAGUAUUACUGUACUUACCUGGGCAGGAAGGAAGAUACUAUAAGCAGAGAUUUGUGUCCUCUACCUUUGGCUAUUAGGGUAUUGGAGCAAUGGAUCCUAAAAAAUUGGAAUUUUCCAACUGUCUUAUAAUAUGAAAAUCGAGGCCCAUGCCCCUGAUGGCAGCUGGAAGGAAAACUUAUCUCCUGGAAAGAGACUUCACACAGUCUGACAACUUGUCAGAUUACCUUUCAGGGGAGUCUUGAGCUGAAGCAUGAUAGAUCGGUGGUGGCAAGAGUCCCAUCAUUACCAAGACUGCUUAACUAUGCCAACCUCUUGCCCUCUUUUUAAACCCAAAGCCCCAUGUCACAACUCAAGA